rnacentral:rRNA from 1 species
GAUGAACGCUGGCGGCGUGCCUAAUACAUGCAAGUCGAGCGAAUGGAUUGAGAGCUUGCUCUUAUGAAGUUAGCGGCGGACGGGUGAGUAACACGUGGGUAACCUGCCCAUAAGACUGGGAUAACUCCGGGAAACCGGGGCUAAUACCGGAUAACAUUUUGAACCGCAUGGUUCGAAAUUGAAAGGCGGCUGCGGCUGUCACUUAUGGAUGGACCCGCGUCGCAUUAGCUAGGUGGUGAGGUAACGGCUCACCAAGGCAACGAUGCGUAGCCGACCUGAGAGGGUGAUCGGCCACACGGGGACUGAGACACGGCCCAGACUCCUACGGGAGGCAGCAGUAGGGAAUCUUCCGCGAUGGACGAAAGUCUGACGGAGCAACGCCGCGUGAGUGAUGAAGGCUUUCGGGUCGUAAAACUCUGUUGUUAGGGAAGAACAAGUGCUAGUUGAAUAAGCUGGCACCUUGACGGUACCUAACCAGAAAGCCACGGCUAACUACGUGCCAGCAGCCGCAGUAA